rnacentral:rRNA from 1 species
AAGCAACGCGAAGAUCCUUACCAGGCUUUGACAUCCCUCUGACGAUAUCUAGAGAUAGUAUUUUCCUUUUGAUCAGAGGUUACAGCUGGUGCAUGGUUGUCGUCUAGCUCGUGUCGUGAGAUGUUGGGUUAAGUCCCGCAACGAGCGCUACCCUUAUUAAUAGUUGCCAGCAGUGUUAGAUGGGCACUCUAGCGAGACUGCCGGCGACAACGCUCGGAGGAUAGGUGGGGACGACGUCAUAUCAUCAUGCCCGUUAUAUCCUGGGCUACACACGUACUACAAUGGCUACAACUAGAGGGAAGCGAAGCAGCGAUGUGGAGCCAAUCCCCAAAAGUAGUCCCAGUUCGGAUUGUAGGCUGCAACUCGCCUACAUGAAGUCGGAAUUGCUAGUAAUCGCGGAUCAGCAUGCUCUCGGUGAAUACGUUCCCGGGCAUUGUACACACCGCCCGUCACACCAUGAGAGCCGGUUACACCCGAAGCCUUAGAGCGUACCUGAUGGAUGCAGCAGUCGAAG